ensembl:lncRNA
AUCCAGGAGUGACCUGUUAGAAGCUGCUCCAUCUGUCAAUUACAGGCACAGGCUUUCCGUAGGAGAGGAACACAGUUUAGGGAGCGUGCUUUUCAAAGAGAAGAUUGCAAUGAUGCAGAUUCAUGUUUCAGCAAGUAGGGGCUGAGAGCAGUUGGCAAAAGCUCUGUCCACGUGCCCUCAGCCGCCUCUUUUUGCCCCUUCUCGCUGUGCCCCCAACUCUGCUCUCAAUGAGCAGGGAAAUACCCAGGCCAAUAACCUGAUCACCAGCAUCAAUCAAGCACUUUCUCAGAGUGCAAGGAAAAGGUGGGAACAGACGGUGUGAACAUUUCCUCCCCAUCUAUGCUUCUACAUCCCCCGACACUGAGCCAUUUUCCAUCAGCAAAGCACCAUGGGAAACUUCUAAAUGAGAAGAAAAGAGGUUCCAGACCACAAAUGAGACGCAUUGGGAAAAUAAGAUUCCGUGGCCACUUGUGGAAGCCUGUGGAAGGUGCUUCCAUCGUCGAUCCAGUGUCCCUCCCCUAGGCCCCAUCAAACUGACCUGACCACAGCUAAGGUAGAAGAGGACCAGUUCUGUCACCAGGGGACCCCAGGCUCCAACUCUGGGUCUCUUCGCUCAAGCUAUAGAACAGAGCCUGCCAGCUAUGCAAUGCUUAGGGUCCCUUAUUCAGAAGGAUUUAAGAUUCUGCUCUUGAAACUCUUAAUUUUGUAACAACGGCCCAUGAAUUGUCAUCUGACCCUGGUCCCAAUAAAUCGUGUAGCUAGACCUGCCCUGAUGAGCGCACGCCCUCAUGGCUGCCCUGCCAUCAACUUGAGGGAAUUCCCUGCUCCAGAAGGUGAAGGCACACUGAACUUGAGGACACCUUCACAGCCAAAGAAACCUCACCUAAAGCUGUAAGUGUGGUGUUGUGUGAGGCACCCGGGAGCCUGCAAGGAGGGAGACAGGUGCUCACCAGAAUGCAUAGACACACUGCUGGAAAUCCCCUGUGGACUUCCUGGAGGAGGUGGCUCAGAGCUGGGGCUGAAUUGGAUGGAUUGGCA